rnacentral:rRNA from 1 species
UACGAGGGGGGCCAGCGUUAUUCGGAAUUAUUGGGCGUAAAGGGCGCGUAGGCGGCCAUGCGUGUCUUCCGUGAAAUCCCUCGGCUUAACCGAGGACGUGCGGAAGAAACUGCAAGGCUCGAGUCCGGAAGAGGGGGGCGGAAUUCCCAGUGUAGCGGUGAAAUGCGUAGAUAUUGGGAGGAACACCAGUGGCGAAGGCGGUCCCCUGGGCCGGAACUGACGCUGAGGCGCGAAAGCGUGGGUAGCAAACGGG